GAUGAACGCUAGCGGCAGGCUUAAUACAUGCAAGUCGAGGGGCAGCACAGGUAGCAAUACUGGGUGGCGACCGGCAAACGGGUGCGGAACACGUACACAACUUACCUUAAGGUGGGGGAUAGCCCAGGGAAACUUGGAUUAAUACCCCAUAAUACAGGGGGCCCGCAUGGGUCUAUUGUUAAAGAUUUAUUGCCUUAAGAUGGGUGUGCGUCUGAUUAGGUAGCUGGUGAGGUAAAGGCUCACCAAGCCAACGAUCAGUAACUGUUGUGAGAGCACGACCAGUCACACGGGCACUGAGACACGGGCCCGACUCCUACGGGAGGCAGCAGUAAGGAAUAUUGGUCAAUGGACGGAAGUUUGAACCAGCCAUGCCGCGUGAAGGAUGAAGGUCCUCUGGAUUGUAAACUUCUUUUAUAGGGGGCGAAAAAGGGCCUUUUGAGGUCAACUGACGGUACCCUAUGAAUAAGCACCGGCUAACUCCGUGCCAGCCGCCGCCGUAAGAC
rnacentral:rRNA from 1 species